AGGCAGGUACUACAGGCUUGUUCUGCAGCAUGGAUGGAUAACACAACUCAGAAACCCUCAGAAAAUAAGAUAAAUCUUUCAUCUCAAAACUUUAUUAAAUUUAUUACAGGGCAAAAGACAUCAGAAGCAAAUUUAUAGAAAUAAAAUCCCUGUGGAUUAAGAUAAACUCAAUUAAGAGAACGGAAUGUUAUUUUUCAUGUUCAGGCAUAAACUCUGAUAAAAUUUCAGGCUUUACAUAUUUAUAAUUGGUUGAGAAAACACCUGUAGAGCAGCCAUGCUGUUCAUAUCCAAAGGAAGAAAGUUAACUACUGAAAUACACUCAUCACCUUUACUACAUUAAAGCACUAUGAGAUCUGUUGUAAUUAUUUUUUCUUGUCAUUUAAUAAGGAAAACAAAGCUAUAUUAAAAUAAGUUUCAUCAAAGUUCGUGAAUUAAAAUGCUGUGCAUUCUAAACAGCUUGUGGUUUGAAAUCUUUCUGUAAUAAAUAACAAGGAAUGUGCUUGCACUUACUGUGUUUGGGCCAGCAUAAUUGCUACAAAGAUAAUUACCGGCAAUUUUCCUCUUGCAUUAGAUCCGUUGAUGAAGAGGAAUAACAAAAACCUUUUCUUCUCUUUGUAGUUCAACACACGCAAAACAAUGGCAUUGAAAUUCAAAUCAAAUGGGCAGAUGCUACCUCUAUGGGAGGAUCAACUGACUGAUAGCACACAAUAUUUUUUUAAUAGCUGCAGUAAGUGUUUAUGGUAAACUGAAGUCCAGUGGGACUGGAAAGGUAUGUAUUGGUUUAUUUCCAUCUCCUGUCUGCUUUUCUAUUUUAAAGAGAUUUCAGCUGAAAUUAGGCAGAGAGGAAUACUUGUUCUUCUUUUUCAAUUUCUUUAGCCCAGUGGAGAAUGAAUUCCCAUAGACACUCAUCUAUUCCCAGGAGGCAAAAAGUUUCACAUUAAACUCUAGACCGAUUGGCUGGCGUACUUGUGUGCCAACUGCGUUAAAACAUAGCAAGGAAAGAACUAAAGCCAUAGUCCAUAUGCUGCUGCUUGGCAGGGAGCUUUGUGUGGAUGGCUGCAGAGAGAAGGUGGAGGUGUUCUGGUAGAGGGAGAAAUUACCCAGACUCCAAAUGCUAGAAUCUUUCCAAGCUGUGCUUUUGUGAGUAGCCAAACAUUCUUUUGGAAACAGCCUCCAGUGGGCUCCAUUACACAUACUGCUGCCACUCUGAACCUGUAGUUCUCAACAUUCAGAGCAUCUAGAUUUCUAUGGAGCCCCUUGGCAAAGAAAUACCUGUUUAGAGGUAUUAUUACAGAAAUCUAUGAUGUCUUGAAUGGGAAACACUUAUUUAGAAGCCAUUGUUGUAUACAAAGCCUUGAAAACGGCAAUUCAGGAACCCAUGAUUGGCUUCGAAGAGCCCGGAGCACCAGCAGGGACCCAUAAGGUACUUCUAAUGGGGAGCGUGUCCUGAACUGAAGCCAGCUGAAGUGGAUGAAGUCUUGCUGUGAUUUCAACCGGGUGACUUGGCUUGUACUCAUGCAGUAAACCAGAGAUCACUUCCUUCCAGGAGGAAAAGCAAGUGCUUGAAGCAGACAUUCUCUGAGUGGGACAUUUCUCAAGAUGGGAUGGCCAAUAGCCUUUGUGCCAGUGGCAGCUCAGUGCUUUCACCUCCGACAGCACCGAGCAGCAGGAAGAUCUGCUCCAUGGCUCCUGUCCACCUUGAGGCACUGAGGGAGCAUCUGUAAACUAGUCCAGAUUUGUUUGUAAAGUUUCAUUCACAGCUCCCCUUUGGCCAAGGAAAGACCGAAGGCAAAUCCACUUUGGUGCCAGAACAAAGGGAUUUGGAGGAGCCUGGAUUCCCAGCAGCACAAAACUUCAGCACCACCAGGAGAUGACACAGCAGCUCAUAGAUGACUUUCACUAUCUGAUCAGACAACUUCUUAAUCAGCAGAGACAGUGCUCACUGUCAGAAAAAUGUCACAUGAGUCAGCUUUCAUCUGCAGGGAACAGGUUCUGCUCCUGCACAACUAAUGGGAGUCCAGUUGUUCUCCAUAUUCAUUGUCUCAUGUUGCACUGUCUGCCGUUCCCAGGCUCUCCUGGCCCUCGUGGCCACAGAGGUUCGGCACACAAACAAGGUUACAGCAGUGAAAAUCAAAGCCAGCAAGAGCAAAACUGCCCUUACAACUACACUGGGUUGUGGUUAUAAGCCCCUGAACUGGCUCUUUAAAUAAUUCAGGAAUAGAUUUGAAAAAUACAACCCCUCAUUUAAAAGGAAGGAGUUUCUCAAGUAACAGAUUCAAUGUUGGAAGAGUAAUAGAUGCCUAUAAUUUCCAUAAUAAACAUCCUCUCUUUAAAAGUAGGAGUAGAAACUGUCACCGUAGUUAAACAUAAAAUUAAGACAUGAUUUCUCAACUCCUCACGAGCUUUGUGUUUUGCUGAAGUAGUUUAUGAACCACGUUUGCCUUUAAUAAAGUCCAUGUAUUUGCAUAUCAUGACCACAAGAGAGAGCUUUAGUGUUGGAUGUUGUACGCUCCCGUGGCAGAAGACUCAGCAGCUCAGUAGCACAGUAAUUUUAACUGGCACUUUUCAAGCAUGACGAGGAUGCCAACGCAAAUCACCUAAUCCAGAUCGUCAAAUGUGUACUCACUUUCCACCAUACAGGCAACCUCCAUGUGUCCUGAAAAACAACUGCCUGAGCAACAUGUUGUCAAAACAUGUCAUCUAGCAUCUACCAUCUUUUUCCCCGCAGAUGAGAUUGAGUCCCCCUGAAAACCUGAUCCAAAAAGUUUCUGAGCAGCCUCAAAAAGAGGAGAAAUGAUAGAAUGCUUCCAAAAGGAAGGUGUGAUAUCUGUUCUUACUGACUUGUCGGGGUGAUAUCAUCUUCUAUGUAACCUGAUAUAUUAAAUGCACAUACCCAUACAUAUGCAUACAUACAUACACACAUAUAUACAUGUAUAUAUAUAAAUAUAUACAUAUAUAUAUACACAUACAUAUAUGUAAACCCAGUCUUUUCCAUACACCACCCUUCUCUGCUCAAACAGCCUCCCAGUUCUGCCCUGCUAAGCAGCUAGUCUCAUUCCAUUCAAAUCCUUACCUGAGA